GACUGCAGUGGCCUAGCGGUUAGAGCAUCUGCCUCAGAUGCGUGAGGUUGUGGGUUCGAUCCCCAGCUGAGUCA